AGGGAGCCAUCGGUAGUGGAGCCUGCGGCUUCCCUUGAGUGAGGGUUAAUAAACGAACCCGGCCCGGACACCGGAAGGAUUGACAGAUGGAUAACUCUUUCUUGAUUUCACGGAUGGCGGUGCAUGCCCGUUCUUAGCUGGUGGAGCGAUGUGUGUGGUGCCUUCUGAUAACGAAAAAUACUCUUACCUAUUAAAUACUCAUCGGGCUCUCUGCAGUCGGCGGACUUGUUAGGGGGACAAGGUGCUUGAAGCACCGCACAACCGAGGAAUAACAGGUUUGUGAUGGCCUUAGAUGUCCGGGGCCCCCUGACUGACUCACUGAAGGAAGCAGCGCGUAACAACUUUGUUCUAUCAAACCGGGCAACCCCUGUAACUUCCUUCUCGAUUGGGAUAGGGGAUUGCAAUUGUGACCAUUGAACAAGGAAUUGCCAGUAAACACUAGUCAUCAGCUAGUGCUGAUUACGUCCCUGCCCUUUGUACACACCGGCCGUCGCUACUACCGAUAGAAUGAUAGACUGU
rnacentral:rRNA from 1 species